AAGUCGGCCUGGGCGCCAGAGUGGAUGCACGUGGGCACGGCUCUCUGUCCCGCGGUCGGGUGCCCAGGACGGAGAGCAGGGGUGGGGCGGGCCGAUUCCUGCUAGGCUCCAGAACUAGACCGGAGCUGGCUUAACAGGGCUGUGCUUGGGAUAGGGCUCCCCCCAUCCUCAGGCAGUUGAACUCUGCACUGAGUCGCCUGGUCGCCUGCCCACUGGACUCCGCUUGCUGCAAUUCCCUCACUGAAGCACUGGUGCCCCCUCCACCUGGAAGAGACAGGUGUGUCCCCUUCUAAAGACAACUCUUGCCAUCACUCUGAGAACUAGCCCGCUGGAGGAUGAAAGACCUACAGAGCAGAGCUGAGUCCUCGCAGCUGAGGCCACCCUGACCAGACAGCCCUCAGUUACUGCAGAGGCCCAAGCAAGUCCACAUGAGAUCAGCCAGGCUCGGUUCAGAUCAGCAGAGCCACCCACCCAACUGAGAGAUUCAUCAGAAACAAUAUUGGGUCAGUCAAAAAGUCUGUGUGAUUUUUUUCUGUAAAAUAAAAGACACAUUUUUCAUUCUCACCAAUAACUUUAUUGAUUUGGAUAUUUUGAGUAUGUUGGCUAUCUCCCCUAUGGUAUAAUGAUGCUUGUUCUCAAUUAAUGUCUUAAUUUCAUCAUUAUCAGCUUCAGCUAGUCUACCUGACUAUGGAACAUCGUUCAGUGAGAAAUUUCCAGCACAAAACUUCAAAAACCACUUUUGACAUGUUCAAUCAGUCACAGUACCUUCUCCACACACUGCACAAAUCUUUUUUGUGCUUCAUUUGCAUUUUUACCUUUCUCAAAAUAAUAAAGUAUAAUAUGCUGAAAAUGUUGCAUAUUUUCUUCUAUCUUCGAUAUAAAAAUGGCUACACA